rnacentral:misc_RNA from 1 species
AAUCCAAUUGUCAGAUUGUUGUCAUGUGAACCGUGUGAACCGCAAAAAGUGAUAUCUGCUUUAGGUACAUACUGAAAAACAUUAUCAGAAUCCGAAGUUAAAAUAGGUUUAGACAAUCUUGAUGUUCGAAAACGUUUACUUACUGUUAUUAAUAAAUAUCGCGAGUGCUUGACAAUUGAUAAUUCUGAAUUGGGUGUUGCGAAAGCUACUGAAGUGCAAAUACAGUUAGAAAAUGAUAAACCGUUUAUGUAUAUGCAGUACCGAAUGAGUUCUGGGGAGAAAGAAAAAGUGAACGAUAUUGUUAGUGAUCUAUUGCAGUCGAAUAUAAUUCGUGAUUCCCAAUCUAACUAUGCGUCACUUGUGUUGUUGGUUCGUAAGAAAAAUGGUGAAUACCGCAUGUGCGUGGAUUUUCGUAAACUUAAUUCCAUGACUGUGAAAGAGCGUUACCCACUACCCCUGAUUGAUGACCAAAUGUAUAAAUAUACACAGGGUGCUAAAUAUUUUACGACACUGGACUUGGCAUCUAGUUACCAUCAGAUUCCCGUUGCAGAAUCUUCAAAACGUCUCACUUCAUUUGUUACACCGACAGGUCACGAGGCUUACGUAACUAGAGAUUUGUCUGAAAUUCCCACAGAACUUCGUCAGCUUCCACUCUCUGAUGACGUAAGGAUUGUGGGAGGGAAUGAAGCUGCACCAAAUUCUUUACCAUAUCAAGUUGCUUUGAACCUUAUUUUCGAGUCAGGGAGAAGUUUCUGUGGAGGAUCUCUUAUUACCAGAAGAUACGUGUUAACAGCUGCUCAUUGUUUGGAUGACGGAGUAAUAUCGUUGGAAGUGUUAUUGGGGACGCAUAACAUUCGACGAAAUGAAACUACCCAACAAAGCAUUUCAACCUCCAAUUUCACAUUACAUGAAGAGUAUAAGAAUAACAGAAUGAAAUAUGACAUAGCCACGGUUUAUCUUCCAACACCGGCUAUUCUCAAUCAAUUCUUCUGUCUCUCCAACGAUUGUUUGAUACUUAUAUAAUGGGAAUCAUUGAAGAAGUGAAAUAGUCAUGUUUUGGACCUAUUCUGCUCCGUGUUAAUAUACCUACAGUAGUAUUAUUUUAUUCGUCCCAACAUUCUUGGUUUAAGUCAAAAGACAUCUUUGGUGUAACCAUACAGAGAAGAUGUAGUGAAAACGAAACGUAAGGUCUUGUAUAAAUGAGACGUUCUCGUUCAGGUUACGUGAUGGACAGGAUAAAAUAAUUCUACUAGUACGUUCAACUGAUUGCGCUUCCCAGUAGAGCUGACGCUUCGAACAGUUUUGUGGGAUCUGAGGCUAUAGCAAGUGGUUGGGGAUACGAU